rnacentral:rRNA from 1 species
GUGGGGAAUAUUGGACAAUGGGCGCAAGCCUGAUCCAGCCAUGCCGCGUGAGUGAUGAAGGCCUUAGGGUUGUAAAGCUCUUUUAUCCGGGACGAUAAUGACGGUACCGGAGGAAUAAGCCCCGGCUAACUUCGUGCCAGCAGCCGCGGUAAUACGAAGGGGGCUAGCGUUGCUCGGAAUCACUGGGCGUAAAGGGCGCGUAGGCGGCGUUUUAAGUCGGGGGUGAAAGCCUGUGGCUCAACCACAGAAUGGCCUUCGAUACUGGGACGCUUGAGUAUGGUAGAGGUUGGUGGAACUGCGAGUGUAGAGGUGAAAUUCGUAGAUAUUCGCAAGAACACCGGUGGCGAAGGCGGCCAACUGGACCAUCACUGACGCUGAGGCGCGAAAGCGUGGGGAGCAAACAGGA